GACGACGCGGCUUGAGGAGCAGCACGCAGACCCGCCUCUCCUGACGACGCGGCCGGAGGAGCGGUGUCGGCAGCUUCGAGACUACGGCAGCGCGAAAGAUUCCAUAUAUAGGUGAUAUCCUACAGUGUUUCAGAGUUCAAAAGACUCUCACGACAGAAGCCAAAAGUCCUCUCACUGUCGUGGCCUCUCCCGUUGCGGAGCACAGGCUCCGGACGCACAGGCUCAGAGACCAUGGCUCACGG